UGCUGUUUCAGCAGCACAUACACUAAAAUUGGAAACAUAUGGAGGAGAUUAGCAGGGCCCCUGAACAAAGAUACACACAAAUUUGUGAAGCAUUCCAUAUUUUU
rnacentral:snRNA from 1 species